AGAGACAGCGUAGCCGCGGUAAUACGAAGGGUGCAAGCGUUAAUCGGAAUUACUGGGCGUAAAGCGCGCGUAGGUGGUUCAUUAAGUUGGAUGUGAAAGCCCUGGGCUCAACCUGGGAACUGCAUCCAAAACUGGUGAGCUAGAGUACGGUAGAGGGUAGUGGAAUUUCCUGUGUAGCGGUGAAAUGCGUAGAUAUAGGAAGGAACACCAGUGGCGAAGGCGACUACCUGGACUGAUACUGACACUGAGGUGCGAAAGCGUGGGGAGCAAACAGGAUUAGAUACCCCCGUAGUCCCUGUCUCUUAUACC
rnacentral:rRNA from 1 species